ACUUCACCAAUUCAUUGGCCUCAAAAUAACUCAUGCCCAUCCCCUUACACGCUGUCUCUGGGACAAAGCAGGGCUUACUUCUCUCAACAGCUCCAAAUGACUCUGUACCCCUUGGUCUGUGUACUAGGUCUUCUCCCAGAUUCAUUCUUAUACAUUUGAUUCCAAGCCCUAGUUCUGAUUCACCUCCAGAAAUCCAGAGUGGGUGCUGAAGGAGCUUAGGAAAUUUCACUCCAAAAUAUGACUCCUUGGUACAAAGAGUAUUUUUAAUUAAAGGUCCUUAGAGAUUAACAGGCCCUUGGAAGGGUCUUUCUUUCUAUCUGCAUAAUCAGAUGGCGUGUGGGCCCAUCAAAGGAACAGUCGACUUCCCUUCCCUUCCCUGUUAUCUCCCUAUAUUGCAGGAAAGAAAAUCAAGAACGCAAUCAGAACUGGCCCAAAUCAUCUUAAAUAUAAUACUUGUCUCUCAAGGCUAAUUCCGUUUGCAAAGAGAAUCAUUUACAAUCAAUCUGUUUCCCCCAUCCGGUCAUCCUCCCUAGUAACCACUCAUUGCCUCUAAGCAGAAUUAUCUACAUUUCUCAUCUCCCCCUCCCCUCUAAAAGGAGGGCAUAAAAAUUUCUGGACCACUGAAUAUUAGAUAAUCAUUCUAUGAGUCUCCCCAUGUGUAUGGUAAAUAAACUUCUUCCUCUUAUUGAUCUGCCUUAAUUGUGACUUGAUCUUUCACCCCCACACUGCACAAUAGCAAAGGAUCUCAUUUUGAGAAGGUUGGAUGAUUUUGGAGCGUCAUGGAAACUUGGAAUGUUAGGACUGGAAGGUCUUACUGGAUCACCUAAUCCAGCCCCUUUGUUUGGGGCAAGAGGAACCCAAGGCCCAGAGAGGCUCCGUGGCCUUCCCCAGCGCACAGCCGCUUGGCAGCCCACACACAAUGAGGAUCUGUGGCCCUGACUCUUCUACUUCUUCUACAACAUCUCGCUCACGUUUUGAAAGAGUUACUCUGGCUAGCACUGGACACUGGUCAUAUUGCAUCAAGGACACUGGUCAUAUUGAAUCAAGGGCCCACUAUACUCCAAGCAGACCUCAUCUUAACUAAUUAUAUCUGAAAUGGCCCUGUUUCCAAAUCAGGUCAUAUGCUGAAAUAUCGGCGGAGAUGGCUCAACAGAACUGUCCAGGAAGAAGUCACGAGGUUGUCUCCUCUGGAGAUGGGACCAAUCAGAACCAUCAACUGUAGUUGAACAAUAGUACCCUGAAGCUGAAAACACUCCCUUUAAAAGCUCUGUAUUUCUGCUUAUAGACAGCGAAAUGGUAAGCAAGGAGUCUGCCUUUUCCUCAUUUGCCAGCAAAUUAAUAAAAGUUCCUUUCCUUCUCCUCAAACCACUUGUCCUGAUGCAACCUUGGGAACAGUGCUGAGCUUUCAGUAGCACCAUCACCCUGGUCCUCCUCCAGCAGGUUCAGCUGAGCCCCUCCCUCCUGCAGGAGAGGCCUCUAGUGCCAAGGAGGACAAGUCUGCCCUGAAAAGCUCCACACAGACAAAGAAAUCUGCUAAUCUGCCUGGUAUACUUUUGUUUUGUGAACUAAAAUAAAAUUUUAAGGCUCAACCCCCACCAGCUGUGAAUGGACCCCCUUGUGGCCAAAGGA